UACGUAGGCAGCGAGCGUUGUUCGGAGUUACUGGGCGUAAAGGGUGUGUAGGCGGUUCUUUAAGUUUGGUGUGAAAUCUCCCGGCUCAACCGGGAGGGUGCGCCGAAUACUGAGGGACUCGAGUGCGGGAGAGGAAAGUGGAAUUCCUGGUGUAGCGGUGAAAUGCGUAGAUAUCAGGAGGAACACCCGUGGCGAAGGCGGCUCUCUGGAUCGGCCCUGACGCUGAGGCGCGAAAGCGUGGGGAGCGAACGGG
rnacentral:rRNA from 1 species